CCCAGUAAACGGCGGCCGUAACUAUAACGGUCCUAAGGUAGCGAAAUUCCUUGUCGGGUAAGUUCCGACCCGCACGAAAGGCGUAACGAUUUGGGCACUGUCUCAACAACAGACUCGGUGAAAUUGUAAUACCGGUGAAGAUGCCGGUUACCUGCGACAGGACGGAAAGACCCCAUGGAGCUUUACUGUAGCUUGACAUUGAGUCUCGGUGCUACAUGUACAGGAUAGGUGGGAGACUAUGAAGCAUGGACGUCAGUCUGUGUGGAGUCAUCCUUGGGAUACCACCCUUGUAGUACUGGGAUUCUAACCAGAGGCCAUGAAUCUGGUCUUGGGACACUGUCAGGUGGGCAGUUUGACUGGGGCGGUCGCCUCCCAAAAGGUAACGGAGGCGCUCAAAGGUUCUCUCAGUACGGUCGGAAAUCGUACGUAGAGUGUAAAGGCACAAGAGAGCUUGAUUGCAAGACAUACAGGUCGAGCAAGGACGAAAGUCGGACUUAGUGAUCCGGUGGUUCCGCAUGGAAGGGCCAUCGCUCAACGGAUAAAAGCUACCCUGGGGAUAACAGGCUGAUCUCCCCCAAGAGUCCACAUCGACGGGGAGGUUUGGCACCUCGAUGUCGGCUCAUCACAUCCUGGGGCUGUAGUAGGUCCCAAGGGUUGGGCUGUUCGCCCAUUAAAGUGGUACGCGAGCUGGGUUCAGAACGUCGUGAGACAGUUCGGUCCCUAUCCGUCGCAGGCGUAGGAAAUUUGAGAAGACCUGUCCUUAGUACGAGAGGACCGGGAUGGACGUACCUCUGGUGUACCAGUUGUUCUGCCAAGGGCAUGGCUGGGUAGCUAUGUACGGAAUGGAUAAGCGCUGAAAGCAUCUAAGCGCGAAGCCAACUUCAAGAUAAGAUUUCCCACCGUAAGGGUAAGACCCCAGGAAGACUACCUGGUUGAUAGGUCGAAGGUGUAAGUGCAGUAAUGUAUUUAGCUUAUCGAUACUAAUAGGUCGAGGACUUGACCAA
rnacentral:rRNA from 1 species